rnacentral:rRNA from 1 species
GUGGGGAAUCUUGCGCAAUGGGCGAAAGCCUGACGCAGCCAUGCCGCGUGAAUGAUGAAGGUCUUAGGAUUGUAAAAUUCUUUCACCGGGGACGAUAAUGACGGUACCCGGAGAAGAAGCCCCGGCUAACUUCGUGCCAGCAGCCGCGGUAAUACGAAGGGGGCUAGCGUUGCUCGGAAUUACUGGGCGUAAAGGGCGCGUAGGCGGACAGUUUAGUCAGAGGUGAAAGCCCAGGGCUCAACCUUGGAAUUGCCUUUGAUACUGGCUGUCUUGAGUUUGGGAGAGGUGAGUGGAACUCCGAGUGUAGAGGUGAAAUUCGUAGAUAUUCGGAAGAACACCAGUGGCGAAGGCGACUCACUGGCCCAAUACUGACGCUGAGGCGCGAAAGCGUGGGGAGCAAACAGGAUUAGAAACCCGGGUAGUCC